UGGGGAAUAUUGCACAAUGGGCGCAAGCCUGAUGCAGCAACGCCGCGUGAGGGACGACGGCCUUCGGGUUGUAAACCUCUUUUAGCAGGGAAGAAGCGCAAGUGACGGUACCUGCAGAAAAAUGCACCGGCUAACUACGUGCCAGCAGCCGCGGUAAUACGUAGGGUGCAAGCGUUGUCCGGAAUUAUUGGGCGUAAAGAGCUCGUAGGCGGUUUGUCGCGUCUGCUGUGAAAGCGCGAGGCUCAACCUCGCGCCUGCAGUGGGUACGGGCAGACUAGAGCGCGGUAGGGGAGAUUGGAAUUCCUGGUGUAGCGGUGGAAUGCGCAGAUAUCAGGAGGAACACCGAUGGCGAAGGCAGAUCUCUGGGCCGUAACUGACGCUGAGGAGCGAAAAGCGUGGGGAGCGAAACAGGAUUAGAUACCCUGGUAGUCCACGCCGUAAAACGUUGGGAACUAGAUGUAGGGGACCAUUCCACGGUUUCUGUGUCGCAGCUAACGCAUUAAGUUCCCCGCCUGGGGGAGUACGGUCGCAAGACUAAAAACUU
rnacentral:rRNA from 1 species